rnacentral:rRNA from 1 species
GAUCCUGGCUCAGGAUGAACGCUAGCGACAGGCUUAACACAUGCAAGUCGAGGGGCAGCGGGGAGUAGCAAUACUCUGCCGGCGACCGGCGCACGGGUGAGUAACGCGUAUGCAACUUGCCUAUCAGAGGGGGAUAACCAGGCGAAAGUCGGACUAAUACCGCAUGAAGCAGGGAUCCCGCAUGGGAAUAUUUGCUAAAGAUUCAUCGCUGAUAGAUAGGC